CUUUUUUCUUUUCCUGACUAUGUCUCUAUUUCCUCUCUCGAUGAACGGUGAAUCCAGGUUCAAUCGAUUCCUCUUCAUUUGUCGUUGAUUUCAGUCGAUUCAAUAUAAUCGAUUGGUUUUUCCGACUUAAAGACGUGAGAUAACUAUGGCGACCAACGAACCCGAGAACGAGACAGAGAAGAGGAAGAGGCGCCAACGAACGAAGAAUCGGCUUCUUCGUCAUCUCCGUCGCCGAUCGAUCUAAUACUCUGCUGUUUCUGUAAUCAGCGGUGGUGAUUGAUGGCUUCUGUCGAUCCAAAAAACGACGGAGGUUUCUUCGCCUCUAUUGGUUUAUUCAUCACCAAUUUCAGAUCGGUCAUGUCCAAAUCAGUUAACGGUUUGAUGGGAUAUGAAGGGCUUGAAGUGAUCAAUUCAGAGGGAAGUACAGAAGAUGCAUAGGAGGAAGCAGCAAGGGGACGGUGGAAGCAAGAGUUUAUUGAUGUAAAUCAGCUAGAAGACCAGUUCCCAUUUGCUCUUCACGUAUGCAGUUACAGAGUAUACUUGGAACAUAUAUCCUACCCAGCAACUCGCUGCUGGCUUGCCCCUCAGAUUGAUAUUUCUUGCCAAAGCAAUGUCGCUAGCUCUCCACGCCAUACAAAUCCGCUAUGGACUACUUCAUAAAAGCACCUUGUAUCGGCAGUUUUAGACAAGUGAAGUUUCACGGAUCAAUUACUAUGGUUUGCACAGCCACAUCACUGACAAUGUAUGACUGGCUCAAGGACUGUUUGAAGAAAUUGAAAUCAGAACAUGGAAAGGUUCAAGUGGGGAACAUCACUGUUGAUAUGGUAACCCCUCUUUUUUGGAUCUUUGGAAGGUUUUCUCUAUUGUUCCCAUUUCUUUCUUUCUCUUUUUUCUUUCUUUAUGUUGUUGCUGUUUAAUCCCAUUUGGAAGGUAAUCAAAGUGGGUGUUUCUUUGCCACUGAUAUGUCUAAGACAUUGCGUUUGUGCUCUUUAUCAGAAGUGGAAUUUAGCUUCCGGGAGAUGCCCACUGGAGGAGCUGCUUUCGGAGUUGGAGGAGACCAUCGCAGCUCCAAAAGAGCCAGAUGCAUUGCUUCUUGGAGCCAUUGGAGAGUUUGUCUUCUCUCUUGUCUCAACUUAUGUUGUUGUCUCUAAAUUUUUUUUGGAAAUGCAGUUUCUCAUAUUUUCUUGUUGGUAUAAUUUUAAGGUACAAAUGGGACAACAAUGAAAAGCAUAUGAGGCCUGAGAAGGGGUUAAUUCAGCUUCAUGAGGUCUCAAACCGCUCUAGUUUCAUAAAAUCCGGUGUUCUUCCCUUUGUCAAGCGUUACAAGAUGAAAUUUUUGGUCUUGUUGAUCGUGUUUCCGAUAAUGGUGAUAUUGCUCUGUUUUUGCUUUGCUUUGAUUUCUCAUUUCAAGAUUGGAGAUGGGAACAAUUCAUCAACAAGUAAGGGCUCUCUUCUGCUGAGAUAAUGAUCAAAAUUUAAAAGGUUACAAAAGCUAAUUGUGUUUGUUGUGUUGUUAUUGUUACAGAUUCAUUCAACUUGUUUUAUAUGGAAUUGUUUAUGAUUUGAAUGCCUGUGUUUUUUUUUCUUCCUUAUGAUUACUGCAAGUAUUGAGAGAAUGAUCACAUAAUUUUUUUUCAACUUGCAAAGCAGUUUCAGUUUUA